CCUGCGGAAGGAUCAAUUACCGAGUUGAUUCGAGCUCCGGCUCGACUCUCCCACCCAAUGUGUACCUACCUCUGUUGCUUUGGCGGGCCGCGGUCCUCCGCACCGGCGCCCUUCGAGGGGCUGGCCAGCGCCCGCCAGAGGACCAUAAAACUCCAGUCAGUGAACUUCGCAGUCUGAAAAACAAGUUAAUAAACUAAAACUUUCAACAACGGAUCUCUUGGUUCUGGCAUCGAUGAAGAACGCAGCGAAAUGCGAUAAGUAAUGUGAAUUGCAGAAUUCAGUGAAUCAUCGAAUCUUUGAACGCACAUUGCGCCCCUUGGUAUUCCGAGGGGCAUGCCUGUUCGAGCGUCAUUUCAACCCUCAAGCUCUGCUUGGUAUUGGGCCCCGUCCUCCACGGACGCGCCUUAAAGACCUCGGCGGUGGCGUCUUGCCUCAAGCUGUAGUAGAAAACACCUCGCUUUGGAGCGCACGGCGUCGCCCGCCGGACGAACCUUUGAAUUAUUUCUUCAAGGUUGACCUCGGAUCAGGUGAGGGAAGU
rnacentral:rRNA from 1 species